rnacentral:rRNA from 1 species
UACGGAGGGCGCGAGCGUUAAUCGGAAUUACUGGGCGUAAAGCGCGCGUGGGCUGUUGUGUAAGUUGGGGGUGAAAUCCCACGGCUCAACCGUGGAACAGCCCUUGAUACUGCGCGACUUGAAUCCGGGAGAGGGUGGCGGAAUUCCAGGUGUAGGAGUGAAAUCCGUAGAUAUCUGGAGGAACAUCAGUGGCGAAGGCGGCCACCCGGACCGGUAUUGACGCUGAGGCGCGAAAGCGUGGGGAGCAAACAGG